rnacentral:rRNA from 1 species
AUUGAACGCUGGCGGCAGGCCUAACACAUGCAAGUCGAACGAGUGGCGGACGGGUGAGUAAUGUCUGGGAAACUGCCUGAUGGAGGGGGAUAACUAAUGGAAACGGUAGCUAAUACCGCAUACCAUCGGAUGUGCCCAGAAGGGAUGAGCUAGUAGGUUGGGUAAAGGCUCACCGAGGCGACGAUCCCUAGCUGGUCUGAGAGGAUGACCAGCCACCGUGGAACUGUGACACGGUCCAGACGCCGACGGUAGGCAGCAGGGUGUAAUAUUGUACAAUGGGCGCAAGCCUGAUGCAGCCAUGCCGCGUGUAUGAAGAAGGCCUUCGGGUUGUAAAGUACUUUCAGCGGUGAGGCGUUACCCGCAGAAGAAGCACCGGCUAACUCCGUGCCAGCAGCCGCGGUAAUAC